AGCGUAUAUUAAAGUUGUUGCAGUUAAAAAGCUCGUAGUUGAAUUUCGGGAUCAAUACGUCGGUCGUGCUUUCGGGUACGUACUGGCGUCAUUGGUUUCUCCUUUCUGACGAACCAUGAUGUCAUUAAUUUGGUGUUAUGGGGAGUUAGGACUGUCACUUUGAAAAAAUUAGAGUGUUUAAAGCAGGCAUUAGCUUGAAUACAUUAGCAUGGAAUAAUGAAAUAGGACGUUCGAUCCUAUUUUGUUGGUUUCUAGGAUCAACGUAAUGAUUAAUAGGGAUAGUUGGGGGCAUUAGUAUUCGAUUGUCAGAGGUGAAAUUCUUGGAUUUAUUGAAGACUAACUACUGCGAAAGCAUUUGCCAAGGAUGUUUUCAUUAAUCAAGAACGAAAGUUAGGGGAUCGAAGACGAUCAGAUACCGUCGUAGUCUUAACCAUAAACUAUGCCGACUAGGGAUCGGAUGAUGUUAAUUUUUUAAUGACUCAUUC
rnacentral:rRNA from 1 species